CGUCAAAAGAAAAUACAUCUGAGAUGCAGGUGUACGAUACGUUGAUAUCGUCGACUCCUGUGUUCAUUAUUUUAAGAAAUGAACCAGUUAUAGAUGAAUAUGCUAUGUAUUUUGAUGGAUAAAAUACAAGACCAUGGUGAACAAUGACGUCAGAUUCUUUCAUCCACGUGACUUUGGAUUCCUGGAUCGAUGCAGUAUUGCAAAGUAAUGUAUUAUUUCCUCCAAUGAUGAUUGGGAGUCGUUGAACGGUCCAAAAUACU
rnacentral:lncRNA from 1 species